rnacentral:rRNA from 1 species
CCUACGGGGGGCAGCAGUGAGGAAUAUUGGUCAAUGGGCGCGAGCCUGAACCAGCCAAGUAGCGUGAAGGAUGACUGCCCUACGGGUUGUAAACUUCUUUUAUAAAGGAAUAAAGUGAGGCACGUGUGCCUUUUUGUAUGUACGUUAUGAAUAAGGAUAGGCUAACUCCGUGCCAGCAGCCGCGGUAAUACGGAGGAUACGAGCGUUAUCCGGAUUUAUUGGGGUUAAAGGGAGCGUAGAUGGGUUGUUAAGUCCGUUGUUAAUGUUUGCGGCUCAACCGUAAAAUUGCAAUUGAUACUGGCAGUCUUGAGUACAGUUGAGGUAGGCGGAAUUCGUGGUGUAGCGGU